GCCUCUGCCACCCACGGCCCCUUCCCCACACGCCUCCUCGCGCUUCCCUCUAUCCCCUUCCCCGCGCCGCUCGCUCCGCGCGCCCGCCCGACGCGCGCCCCGGUGAGCGCGGCCCUCAGCUCCCUUUCUCCGCGCUCGCCAGUCGCUGGCAAGUUGGCACCGCACCCGGUCCAAAUCUCCUCCCCGCCCGGCCCGCCCCCCCCUGCCCUCCCGGGCGCCAGAGCUUGGCUGUUGUGGGGCGCGGGAACCCCACACCUCGGGGUGGAGGGGGCGGGAAGCAAGAGGACACAUCGCGGGUGGCGGGUGGCGGAUGGGGGGGGGCUUCCUCGGCCGGGUGCCCCGUGUGCGCUCCCCGAGUCCCGGUCUACGGACACUCAGCCGCAGGGCACUCGGGGGAGCCCUUCAGUGGCGCCGAGCGGCGUUCCGGGGUCGGGGGGGGAGGUCGUGACCCCGCCCUACAGGGUUGGUGGAGCAGGGAGGUGCGCUUGGGGUGAGGGGCCCACGAGGAAGCCGAGGAAGUGGCCACUUGAAGGUUUGGAAGGGAACGACCACCGGGGUUCGGAGGCUCUGGGUCAUCCCGGGGACUCGCUGCGAGUUCAGCACCGAAGCCCCGAGGGGAAGCCCGCCAAGGGGAGGGGUCUGUGUGCGCGCGCAUGUGUGCAAGUGUCCGUGUGUGAGCGUGUGCAAAGGAGAUAAAGGGGUGGGUUUGCCCCGGGGCAGAUGUGAGGGUAAGGCAGAUUUCCUCUGUAGGGGAAGGCAGCCGGGUGCCUGAGACUCUCGAAAGCGGAGCUGGAUAGAUGGGGACGCGCACAGCGCUCCCCUGCGCGCUCGCUCUCUCUCUCUCUCUCUCCAAAUUGUCCCCUAUUCUUCCCUUCCCUUUCGUCCUGUUCUUUUCUUUUAAAGCACUGUAAUGAAAUUGUGAUGAAAUAGAAAUACUUUGUCAUGAAACUUACCCAUAAACAUCUAUCUCAGAAGAGAGCAAACUGGAUUUUUGAGAUGGUGAUAUUUAGAUUGAUUCCUCUCAAUUCAAAAAUUGUGAAAACUGUUUUAUUUUUAUCAAGGUACUCUUGGGAAAUCUCUUGAUCAGAUUCACAUCUGUUCCUGUCAAAGUGGGUGCUAAGAUACCGGUCACCCAGCAACCAUGUCCAAGAGGGAAUUGGGCCGAUAAUAACUUCAAAAAGGAAUGACAGAUGCUAGAUUAGGAUGAAAGACAAAAUGCAUGAAAAAUGAGCUUGUUAGAAUCAAAAAUUUGUUCAAGCACCUUUAUGCAAAUUAAAUGGAUAUUAAAUAUUUGCAUGCAGUAAUUUCUACUUUUUAGUUUGAUUGAAAAGAAUACUGCAUUGAAACUCACAAAUGUGUCUUUUUUCUUUUGUACUAAUCAACAAACAAGGCAGAAUCUCUUUUUAAAAAAUUAGAUUAGCCACCUGGGUUCUUACAUCUCUGCUAAGUAUGCUACAAUGUUUUUUUCUUAUAACAAUGGCACUCUUAGGGACAACUUGGUUUAUCUAAUUUUUUCGUAAUAAACUAUCUCAUGUGAAUUAAGAUUAUUUUAGAUGAAUAUAAAUCUGUUUCUUCGGAAAGCAUUUCAAAAGUAACCUUAUCCUGUUGUCCUUGAAGUUGGUUAAUGUACAUUAAUAAAAGAUCACUCCAGAUAAGUUCACACCCAAAGCACAGGCUUCUCAUUGACUGGUUAAAUAACAAUGCAUUAAAGUAGAGUAGAGUGAUAUACCUGAAAUGAAAGAGACAGUUACGUCUCUUCAAAAUUUCAGAUGCUUUUGGAUACACUGUUUUUUUUUCUAUUGAAUUGUUUACAUACUAAUCUGAAUUUAGAAGAGUCUGAUAAAACAGAGUGAUUGAGAGAGGUUUCUGAGUCUUGGUUUAGCAGUGUCUAAUGUGGUCACGUAGAGAAAUUGAUUUUCUUCAGAAAUUAAUUAAUUUUUCAUAUCGCCCUAAGCUGCAGUUAAAAAGAGUGCAUACUUGUCUGUUUUUUCCAGAAAUAUUGCCUAAUCAUAUUAAUACCAUUGCCCCAAGGAUGAAAAGAUAAUUGUACAAAUGCAUUUGGAAAUAUGUAUCACUGAGUAUUUAUGAUUAAAUUAUGCAAAUGACCCAGCUCUCAUCCUUUCCAGACCCAGAUUGUCUAAUUAGGAUUGAUAUGCUGAAUAGAUGUUCCAGAAUUUGAAUACAAGCAUGUCCAAGGAGCAGAAAAUUGGAAAUGACAAGGUUGAAAUCCAAAGAAAAGUGUCUUUUGAUUUUAUAUUUUGUUAAUGUGCUGUUAGCAGUUGAGAAUAUUUCAUUCCCUUUGGCUGUUUGUGACUCAUAUGUCCUUAUUAGAAACAAGUAUGCAAGAAGAAUUGAACUCUAGCAAAUAUCAUUUCAUUUCUAUUGGAUGCUUAUUUAAAAUAAUAACCCCUGGUCAUCCAAACAGAACAUCACUAUCUAGUUGUUUCAAAUAUAAACUUAGCUUUCAUUGAGUGACUUUAAAGAGUCAAAACUUCUUUGAGUUAAUGACAUCGUUUAUUCCUAAACUAACUUUGCAAACUUAGUAAUGUAUCAAUGCACUGUUUUCUACACAUGCUUUCUCGAGUCUACCAUUCAUUCUUUUACUUAUUCUUUCA